rnacentral:rRNA from 1 species
GAUGAACGCUGGCGGUGUGCCUAACACAUGCAAGUCGAGCGGACGGACGAUAAGCUUGCUUCUCUGAUGGUAGCGGCGGACGGGUGAGUAACACGUACAUAGCCUACUUAUAUUACUGGGAUAACUUCGGGAAGCCGGAGCUACUACUACCUAAUAUUUUGAACCGCAUGGUUCAAAGGUGCUAGACGGUCUUGCUGUCUCAUAUAGAUGGAUCCGGGUCGCAUUAUCUAGGGGGUAAGGGAACGCCCUACCAAGGCAACGAUGCAUAGCCGACCGGAGAGGAUGAUCGGCCACACUGGAACUGAGACACGGUCAGACUCCUAAGGGAGGCAGCAGUGGGGAAUUUUGGAGCAUGGGCGCAAGCCCGAUCCAGCCAUCGCGCGUGGGUGAAGAAGGGUUUCGGGUUGUAAAGCCCUUGUUAUGGGAAAGAAACAUAGGAGUAAAUAACCCUGCUGAUCUGACCGUAACCAAAGAAGAAGGCCAGGCUAACUUCCGG